UGGGGAAUAUUGCACAAUGGGCGCAAGCCUGAUGCAGCAACGCCGCGUGAGGGAUGACGGCCUUCGGGUUGUAAACCUCUUUUAGUAGGGAAGAAGCGAAAGUGACGGUACCUGCAGAAAAAGCACCGGCUAACUACGUGCCAGCAGCCGCGGUAAUACGUAGGGUGCGAGCGUUGUCCGGAAUUAUUGGGCGUAAAGAGCUCGUAGGCGGUCUGUCGCGUCUGCUGUGAAAACCCGAGGCUCAACCUCGGGCCUGCAGUGGGUACGGGCAGACUAGAGUGCGGUAGGGGAGAAUGGAACUCCUGGUGUAGCGGUGGAAUGCGCAGAUAUCAGGAAGAACACCGAUGGCGAAGGCAGUUCUCUGGGCCGUAACUGACGCUGAGGAGCGAAAGCGUGGGGAGCGAAC
rnacentral:rRNA from 1 species